CCUCCCCCGCCCCCUCUGCAGCUGCCCAUCUGCACCUGCUCCCUGGGGUCGCGGCACCACUCGGCUCCAGGGGGUCAGGGACUUUGGCGCGUGACAUUUAUUGAGCACCAACUGUGUACUAGUCCUGGGAGGGCCGUGACCAACACAGACAGGACCUGACUUUGUGGUCACUGAAGGGUCGAGGAGGGGCUGGCGGGCCGGAGGGAGCCUGGCUGUUGUCACCCUGGGCAGCCCCACUUGCCAAACGCCACCACAGCUGCGUCACUGAGAUGGGUGGGCCGGAGACUGAGGGGUGCAGGGAGGGGCCUCACGCCCAGCUGGCUUCAGCAUCAGGGUUGGCUGAAGGCUGGCCUGUGUCCACCGUUAGUCACUCUGUGUGAUGUGGCUCUGCGGCCACUUGCUGUUGGGGACUAUUAUUUUCAACUUGCAGAAAGGUUCAGAAGGCAGCUGGAGCAGCCACGUCCCACCUCCAAGGGAGGAUGUGGCGGACGUGCCCUCCCCCACGGGCAGCCCCUCCCUCUUCGAAAGGUGACCUCAUCCCGAAUCUGGUGUCAUAGUGCUCCUUCCCGGGCUGCCUGCGUGUCCCUGGCCACACCAACACCGGCCUGACACCCGAUAGAUGCCCAGCUCCUUGUCACUGUCACUCCAGCCCUGGAGAGAGGAGGCUCUGUGCAUCCGAGGCGGGCGCUCCGUUUCCUCACCUGUGGCCCUCCCUUCUGCUCAAGGUCCUCAGGGAUGCGCUCAUGCACAUUCACCAACUGGCUCUGGGCACCAGCGCGCGCCAGGCUCUGCUCUAAGAUCCAGGGACACAGGAGUGAGUGACAGGCAAGACCUCCAUCCUCAGCGGGCUGGCAUUCUGGGGAGGGGUGAAGACAGCCUGUGACAGCGACAGAGUCUCACUGAGCUCCUUAGCGCCUCACUGCUGAGGCUGACUUUGAACUCGCGACCCUCCCGCCCCGUCCUCCGGAGCCCUGGGUUGACUGCGCCUGCUCCACUCAGCUUUUACCAGCACAGUGGCCCCUUCUAGGAGGCCACCCUGACUUCUAGCAGACCUCUCCUCUGUGCUUGGCAUGGUGUCCCUCCAGUGGCCACCCCCAGUUCCCCCAUGCUGGACAAACUGGUGCUUGAUGGUACUGUGCCCUCCUGCAGAUGAGGAAAUGGAGGUCAGGGAGGUAACUGGACUCAUCCCCCAGAUGAGGAUACCGAGGGCCAGGGAGACAGCGAGACGUGGUGAAAGAUGCAGCCCAGCCUCAGGAGCUGCCCUGGCCUGGCCUGGCCUUGAGCCAGGAGACCGGCUGCUCCUGCUGCCACCCACAACUCUGGAGCCCCCCUCUUGCCUCAGGAAGAAGACAAGGACCUGAGCCUGCCGUCCCCCAGGCUGGCACUGGGGCCUGACCCCCUGCACACACACUGCCUGUCUCCAAACUGGGCCGAGUCCAAGGCCCCUGGACAUCACCAGGGCCCUGAGCAGCAGCCUCAUUCCAGGGGAGCGGCUGCGGGACCAGGUGGAGAGACUGCUCUCAGGUCCCCCGAUGGUCCCUUCCUGCUCACUGAGGACAGGACGCUGCUCUGCAAGGCCUAGCCCCUGUUGUCAUCACCUGCCCUAGUUCUGGGCACAGAGCCGCUGCACUAAGACCUCACAGGGAGUCCCUCUGCAUGGGACGUGGCCACAGUGGGACCCCUAGGGGAGACUCUUCCCAGAAAUUUGUAAUGACAGCUUCUCUAAUAUCCAUAACCAUUUGAGCCGGAGAACAUUAUACUCUACUCUCUGCAUUUUACAGAUAAGGCUCAGAGAGGCUGAGUGAUUUUUCCUCAGGUCACACAGUGGGAGCUGGGAUUGGAACCCCGGCCUUCUAGUUACAGAGCACACAUCCUUAACCGCCCAUCUCCAGUGCGUCUGAAACUGCUGGGGUGUAGUAGGUGCUUUCCCAAGGUCCCCUUGGCCGCAGUCAGAGUCUGGAUUCGGAUUUCGGCCAGCCUCGAGGUCAGCGGCCAGCCGUUCUGCCUGUGCCCGGGAGGAAUGUUGGUGGUGGCCUCGGCCGGGGUCCGAGAAGAAAGGCAGCCUUGUGGGCGAAAGAUGGAAUUGAGAUAGGAACCAGGUGGGGUGUCACCCUCUGUCAUCCCAGCUACUCCGGAGGCCAAGGCAGGAGGAUCACACGUUCAAGGCCAGCCAUCAGCAAUUUAGGGAGA